AGAGUUUGAUCCUGGCUCAGAAUCAACGCCGUCGGCGUGCCUAACACAUGCAAGUCGAACGCGAAAGGGGAGCAAUCCCUGAGUAGAGUGGCAAACGGGUGAGUAACACGUGGGUGACCUGCCUUCGAGUGGGGGAUAACGUUCCGAAAGGAACGCUAAUACCGCAUGACAUCCUGCCUUUGGAAAGGUGGAGAUCAAAGCUGGGGAUCGCAAGACCUGGCGCUUGAAGAGAGGCCCGCGCCUGAUUAGCUAGUUGGUGGGGUAACGGCUCACCAAGGCGACGAUCAGUAUCCGGCCUGAGAGGGCGGACGGACACACUGGGACUGAGACACGGCCCAGACUCCUACGGGAGGCAGCAGUGGGGAAUUGUUCGCAAUGGGCGCAAGCCUGACGACGCAACGCCGCGUGGAGGACGAAGAUCUUCGGGUCGUAAACUCCUGUCGAGCGGGACGAACGCUCCGCGGACGAAUACUCCGCGGAAUUGACGGUACCGCUAAAGGAAGCCCCGGCUAACUCCGUGCCAGCAGCGGCGGUAAUAC
rnacentral:rRNA from 1 species